GCAGCCCCUUCUUGGCGCCUUGGAUUGCGUGCGGCAUCAGGAGCUCUAUGCUGAUUCAAUCGAGACUCUGGCAUCGUUUCCUGCGAUUUCCAAGCUCAUCUAUGCCGCUGGUGUGGAUGAUUUCGGAACCAGGGAUAUUUUCGGUGUCCAAAGAAACAAGCGAGGAAAGCCCCUCCACUCCACGCUGCGUACUGCAAGUGUGGAAUGUUUUUUCUUCUUUUUUGUUUUAUCACAGACUUCGCAUAGAGUGGAGAGGGAGCUCCAGAUACCGAAACUGAGCUUGUGGAUAGAAUUCAGCAAUUGGAAGAGACCAGGAUACAGGUGGAGCGAAAAGCUGAGGAGCCUCAAGCCCAGGAAUUGUCCGUGGAGGCGAAGAACUCGAGCAGAAAAUCUACGGUCUCAACAAACAACUAGCCCGGUUGCAAAGCGACAGUUGACCGAAAAGAGAAUGCUUUAAGUCAGGAGAGCGGCUGUCCAGAAUGCGGAAGCUGAGGUUGAAUCGGCGCGUCAAUCUCUGUCGUCAAAUGGAAGCACAAGUAAUGAGCUUGGCAAACACGGUGGCGUAGCUCAAGUCAAGAGCGACAGGAGGUUCUGCACCAGGGCAUAUUUCUUUUUGGUCUCGAAAAGCUUGAUAUGAUGGAUGCGCUGGAGGCGGAGAAAAUGGUGAAAGAUUCGAAGGAGAGAUGAAUCUCAAGGAGAAUGAAAAGAAGCAUUCGGUUAUCGGUGCGCAGUUGGAAAAAUUGAAAAUCGCAGGCCAGUAUUUUCAAUCUGAGAAGUUAGAUUCGUCCUCCGAAAGCGGACCAGGAUCUUGAAGAUUUCAGGUUGCAAAAUAAACCUUUGGUUGAUCAACUUAAGACGUAUCUUUUAUGCAUGUGGAAAUGGAAAAGGUUAUAUUUAGCGCCA